CAGUAGCCGCGGUAAUACAGAGGGUGCAAGCGUUAAUCGGAAUUACUGGGCGUAAAGCGUGCGCAGGCGGUUAUAUAAGACAGAUGUGAAAUCCCCGGGCUCAACCUGGGAACUGCAUUUGUGACUGUAUAGCUAGAGUACGGCAGAGGGGGAUGGAAUUCCGCGUGUAGCAGUGAAAUGCGUAGAUAUGCGGAGGAACACCGAUGGCGAAGGCAAUCCCCUGGGCCUGUACUGACGCUCAUGCACGAAAGCGUGGGGAGCAAACAGGAUUAGAUACCCGAGUAGUCCCUGUCUCUUAUAA
rnacentral:rRNA from 1 species